rnacentral:lncRNA from 1 species
AUUGAUUCGGAUAACUUAAAUUAUUUUGUUUCACAUGAGAGUAAGCCAAUACUUACUUUGUCAAGGAAAACUAGGGAUGAAUCAGUAGAAGGCCUAAUCUAAAUACGAAAUUUGAAUACUGACAUGAAUUAAUUUUUUAUGCAUAUCCGAUUCUUUGCACGUGUUAUGCAUGUGAGGUGCACCUAUAGAUAACAAAAGAACUAGAAUAGAAGUGACAAGUACUGAUAUACUUUUUCAUUAACAUUAUCAUAUAUAUGAGUCAUAAAUAUAAGUUAUGCGAAACAUUAACAUUUCGAUAGGGUAACAGGGCGACACUGGCAUACAACUAUUCUGUUUGAUAACGGAUAUAAAUAUUUUCAAAUCACUAAAAUAAAAAAAUAAAAAUACAAUUUAAACUUCAAGAAAAUAUGCAACUGAUUUAAGCUACAAGUUCGUGAGGAUUAACACAAGGAAAGCAUAUACAGAGAGAAAAUGGAAACUUUAAUAUGUAUCUUCUAUAUUUCGAAUUUCGAUACCAACAAGUGCCCAUAAUUAUCUAAUUUCGUGUCCUUGCAACUGCAAGUACUUUACGGACUAUUAACUGAUACCGCCUCUUCCCAACUGCAAUUAUGGAUAGUUGAUCAAUCAACUGCGACUUCUCUUCAAUUUCGGAC